rnacentral:rRNA from 1 species
GUGACGAACUCGUGAAUCCCACACUGCCAAGAAAAGCUUCUAGCGAGGACUGAUCCGCCCGUACCGUAAACCGACACAGGUAGGCGGGGAGAGAAUCCUAAGGUGCGCGGGAAAACCCUCGUUAAGGGACUCGGCAAAUUGCAUCCGUAACUUCGGAAGAAGGAUGGCCCUGAGUAGGCGAAGAGUCUAGCACUUGGAACCGGAAAGGGCGGCAGAAAAGAGGCCCAAGCAACUGUUUACCAAAAACACAGGUGCCUGCGAAAGCGAAAGCUGACGUAUAGGUGCUGACGCCUGCCCGGUGCUGGAAGGUUAAGGAGAGAGGUUAGCGCAAGCGAAGCUUUGAACUGAAGCCCCAGUGAACGGCGGCCGUAACUAUAACGGUCCUAAGGUAGCGAAAUUCCUUGUCGGGUAAGUUCCGACCCGCAUGAAAGGCGUAAUGAUUUGGGCACUGUCUCAACGAGGGGCCCGGUGAAAUUGAAAUACCUGUGAAGAUGCAGGUUACCCGCGACUGGACAGAAAGACCCCAUGGAGCUUUACUGCAGCUUGAGACGGAAUCUCGGAAGUAGACGCACAGGAUAGGUGGGAGGCAUUGAAACAUACACUUAGGUGGAUGUGGAGCCGCUGUUGGGAUACCACCCUUCUAGUUCUGGGAUUCUAACGCGAGGAGUAACGACCCUGCGGACAAUCUCAGGCAGGCGGUUUGACUGGGGCGGUCGCCUCCGAAAGAGUAACGGAGGCGCCCAAAGGUUCCCUCAGGCCGGACAGAAACCGGCCGACGAGUGCAAAGGCAGAAGGGAGCUUGACUGCGAGACCAACAAGUCGAGCAGAGACGAAAGUCGGGCUUAGUGAUCCGGUGGCCCUGCGUGGAAAGGCCACCGCUCAACGGAUAAAAGCUACCCUGGGGAUAACAGGCUAAUCUCUCCCAAGAGUUCAUAUCGACGGGGAGGUUUGGCACCUCGAUGUCGGCUCAUCACAUCCUGGGGCUGGAGUAGGUCCCAAGGGUUGGGCUGUUCGCCCAUUAAAGUGGUACGCGAGCUGGGUUCAAAACGUCGUGAGACAGUUUGGUUCAUAUCCAUCGCGGGCGUAAGAAGUUUGAGGGGAGCUGCUCCUAGUACGAGAGGACCGGAGUGGACGGAUCAACGGUGUACCAGUUGUCACGCCAGUGGCACGGCUGGAAAGCCGCAUCCGGAAGGGAUAAACGCUGAAAGCAUCUAAGCGUGAAGCCCACCCCGAGAUGAGACUUCUCAUCAGAAAUGAGUAAGACUCCUUAUAGACUAUGAGGUUGAUAGGCCGCAAGUGGAAGCGCAGCGAUGUGCGGAGCGAUGCGGUACUAAUAAGUCGAGGUCUUAAC